CCUUACCAGGUCUUGACAUCCCGUUGACCGCUAUGGAGACAUAGUUUUCCCUUCGGGGACAAUGGUGACAGGUGGUGCAUGGUUGUCGUCAGCUCGUGUCGUGAGAUGUUGGGUUAAGUCCCGCAACGAGCGCAACCCUUGAUCUUAGUUGCCAUCAUUUAGUUGGGCACUCUAAGGUGACUGCCGGUGAUAAACCGGAGGAAGGUGGGGAUGACGUCAAAUCAUCAUGCCCCUUAUGACCUGGGCUACACACGUGCUACAAUGGACGGUACAAACGGUUGCCAACCCGCGAGGGGGAGCUAAUCCGAUAAAACCGUUCUCAGUUCGGAUUGUAGGCUGCAACUCGCCUACAUGAAGCCGGAAUCGCUAGUAAUCGCGGAUCAGCAUGCCGCGGUGAAUACGUUCCCGGGCCUUGUACACACCGCCCGUCACACCACGAGAGUUUGUAACACCCGAAGUCGGUGAGGUAACCUUUUGGAGCCAGCCGCCGAAGGUGGGAUAGAUGAUUGGGGUGAAGUCGUAACAAGGUAAGCGUAGAUGA
rnacentral:rRNA from 1 species